rnacentral:rRNA from 1 species
AGCGAACGCUGGCGGCAGGCUUAACACAUGCAAGUCGAGCGGGCACCUUCGGGUGUCAGCGGCAGACGGGUGAGUAACACGUGGGAACGUACCCUUUGGUUCGGAACAACUCUGGGAAACUGGAGCUAAUACCGGAUACGCCCUUUUGGGGAAAGGUUUACCGCCGAAGGAUCGGCCCGCGUCUGAUUAGCUAGUUGGUGAGGUAACGGCUCACCAAGGCGACGAUCAGUAGCUGGUCUGAGAGGAUGAUCAGCCACACUGGGACUGAGACACGGCCCAGACUCCUACGGGAGGCAGCAGUGGGGAAUAUUGGACAAUGGGCGCAAGCCUGAUCCAGCCAUGCCGCGUGAGUGAUGAAGGCCUUAGGGUUGUAAAGCUCCUUUGUCCGGGACGAUAAUGACGGUACCGGAAGAAUAAGCCCCGGCUAACUUCGUGCCAGCCGCCGCCGUAAU